AUUCAAAGUUUAUUGGGUUUGCCUUGGAUCACUGGACUGCUGAGAAAACUCAACUCUUUCAUAGUUGAUCAUUGCAUCAUCUUGCUGUUACUGGAUUCCUGGGUCUGCUUGUUUUGCUCAGCAUCAGUUCAUGGUUCCAAUAGACCUUUCAUUUAUUGACAAGAGGAUCUUAUAUUAUUAGCAGGCUGGUGACUCAGAUUUAUCUCAUGGAUGAUGAUGUACAAGUCAAUAUAUUACCUUCCUGAUGUCAUUGGUAUUCUUCAAGAACAAAGAAUGAACUCCAGAUUAUGGGAAGCUUGGCAUGUACAAACUAUGCUAAUUCUUUCAGGUCACUCUUUUUAGCCAUUACCAUUCCAUGGUAAAAUUUUCCCCAAAAUUUCUGAGAGAGGUCAUGCUAAUUUUAUUUUGGGGGAAUACUUUAGGCACUUGGAAAAUGAGACUCUAUUUCCCCCUCACAUUUUCUCUGAAUUAUGUGGAAGAAAAAUACAUAAAUGAA